rnacentral:rRNA from 1 species
GACGAACGCUGGCGGCGUGCUUAACACAUGCAAGUCGAACGGAAAGGCCCUGCUUGCAGGGUGCUCGAGUGGCGAACGGGUGAGUAACACGUGGGUGCUCUGCCCCUUACUUUGGGAUAAGCCUGGGAAACUGGGUCUAAUACUGGAUAGGACCAUGCUGUUGGUGGUGUGGUGGAAAGAUUAGUUUCGGUAAGGGAUGAGCUCGCGGCCUAUCAGCUUGUUGGUGGGGUAAUGGCCUACCAAGGCGUCGACGGGUAGCCGGCCUGAGAGGGUGGACGGCCACAUUGGGACUGAGAUACGGCGCAGACUCCUACGGGAGGCAGCAGUGGGGAAUAGUGCACAAUGGGCGCAAGCCUGAUGCAGCGACGCCGCGUGGGGGAUGACGGCCUUCGGGUUGUAAACUCCUUUCGGCCAUGACGAAGCCCUUGUGGUGACGGUAGUGGUAGAAGAAGCACCGGCUAACUACGUG